UACAGAGGGUGCAAGCGUUAAUCGGAAUUACUGGGCGUAAAGCGUGCGUAGACGGUUAUGUAAGUCGGGUGUGAAAGCCCCGGGCUCAACCUGGGAAUGCCAUUCGAGACUGCAUAGCUAGGGUGCGGAAGAGGGAAGCGGAAUUUCCGGUGUAGCGGUGAAAUGCGUAGAUAUCGGAAGGAACGUCAAUGGCGAAGGCAGCCACCUGGCUUAAUACUGACGCUGAGGCGCGAAAGCGUGAGGAGCGAACAGG
rnacentral:rRNA from 1 species